rnacentral:rRNA from 1 species
AUUGAACGCUGGCGGCAUGCUUUACACAUGCAAGUCGGACGGCAGCACAGAGAAGCUUGCUUCUUGGGUGGCGAGUGGCGAACGGGUGAGUAAUAUAUCGGAACGUACCGAGUAAUGGGGGAUAACUAAUCGAAAGAUUAGCUAAUACCGCAUAUUCUCUGAGGAGGAAAGCAGGGGACCUUCGGGCCUUGCGUUAUUCGAGCGGCCGAUAUCUGAUUAGCUAGUUGGUGGGGUAAAGGCCUACCAAGGCGACGAGCAGUAGCGGGUCUGAGAGGAUGAUCCGCCACACUGGGACUUAGACACGGCCCAGACUCCUACGGGAGGCAGCAGUGGGGAAUUUUGGACAAUGGGCGCAAGCCUGAUCCAGCCAUGCCGCGUGUCUGAAGAAGGCCUUCGGGUUGUAAAGGACUUUUGUCAGGGAAGAAAAGGCUGUUGCUAAUAUCGACAGCUGAUGACGGUACCUGAAGAAUAAGCACCGGCUAACUACGUG